rnacentral:rRNA from 1 species
UACGUAGGGGGCUAGCGUUGUCCGGAAUUAUUGGGCGUAAAGCGCACAUAGGCGGCUAUCUAAGUCGGAUGUGAAAUCCCUCGGCUUAACCAAGGAAGUGCACCCGAAACUGGAUAGCUUGAGUACAGAAGAGGAUCGCGGAAUUCCCGGUGUAGAGGUGAAAUUCGUAGAUAUCGGGAGGAACACCAGUGGCGAAGGCGGCGAUCUGGGCUGAUACUGACGCUGAGGUGCGAAAGCGUGGGGAGCAAACAGG